AGAUUUAAUAUAUAAAAUUUAGGUUCUCUAAAAAAACUCAAGGAAUUGUGUUGCCUCAGCUUAUUUUAUACAAGUAGUUUGAACAAACAUCAAAUGCCAUUUUUUGAGUGAACAGGAAGACGCUUCACCUGCAAACUUUACACAUACACUGCCAAUGCAGUCUCACAAACGAGCUGUUUGUCCAUCAGCAGCUCAAACCACAUCUCUGAUGAAAACAAACCACAACAGGUUUCAGUUUGAGUUCAGUUGUCAAUGUCUCUAAAACUGGCACUGAAGAUUAUGGGUUUAACUGUGUACUUUGUUUUUCCUUUUACUAAAACUAGGAACUGAAUACACUAUUUUAAAACACUGGGUUGUACUAUUGGUUUUGGAAUGAAAUGUUGUUAAUUCAUAAUUCACACAAUAGUAUCAUACUCUGAGCAAUUUGACACAGCUAAGCACUGAACUGCCUUUCCAAAACAUAUGCUAGAUAUUAAAAAAUAAAGAAUAUUUGUAACUUAAGAAGAGUUCAAAUCAUAACGAAGACCAAAAAAAAAAAAUUGAAACAAACAAAAAAUAACAACUUCUAACGUGUAACAAACAGGGAGGGUCAAUCCCUCUUGUGGGAGGAGUCACAUGAGUUUAGUUCAGAUGAUUUUCAGUCUUGUUUAAACUGGUUGAAAGCAAGAUGUUGUUUCACGUUUUUGCUUUGUUCUGUUUGUGCUGGAAGACCUUGUUCGGUGUGUUUAGUGAGAUCGUGUCAGUGACGGAAGGAGAUUCUGUUACUUUAAACUUUAAUGCUGUGCAUGAAGGUGACCACAUACUGUGGAAAUAUGGGGCUGAAAACACCCUCAUUGCUAAAAUCAACAUAAAGCAGCAAGACUUCUUUACAUUUGAUGAUGUUCUUGAUGGGAGAUUCAGAAACAGACUGAAACUGGAUCAUCAAACUGGAUCUCUGACCAUUACAAACAUCAGAUCCGAGCAUGCUGGCAUUUAUGAACUAGAAAUAAUCGGAUCAAAACUGACAAUAGAAAAAUUUAGUAUUUCUGUCUAUGCUCGUUUGCCUGUUCCUGUCACCAUCAGAGACUGUUCUUCCUCCUCCUCUUCAUUGUCCCAGUAUAAUUGUUCAGUGUUGUGUUCAGUGGUGAAUGUGAGUGCUGUGAGUCUCUCCUGGUACAAAGGAAACAGUGUAUUGUCCAGCAUCAGUGUGUCUGAUCUCAGCAUCAGUCUCUCUCUACCUCUGGAGGUGGAAUAUCAGGAUGAAAACACCUACAGCUGUGUGAUCAACAACACCAUCAGCAACCAGACCACACAUCUGGACAUCAACACACUCUGUCAGCUGUGUCCAGAUGAGGAUCUACAUUGGUUUUACAUCGUGUGGAUGUGUGCUGUUGUUGGAUCUCUGAUGAUUUUAGUGUCUGCCGUGAUGUGCUGCAUCUCCAAGAAACGUAGAAAAACAGUUUAUAAUCAAGAAGAAGACCAAUCGGAUUCAACAUCGUGCAAACAAAAAUCACAAAAAACGGUGUGUUUGCUAAGAAACUAAAAGUGUCUGUGUCAGUGACUGAAGGAGAUUCUGUUACUCUAAACUCUGGUGUUACUAUAAUACAUUGGGAGAACAUGCUGUGGAGUUUUGGAGCCGAAAACACUCUUAUAGCUAAAAUCAACAUUAAGGAGCAAAUCUUCUCCACAUUUGAUGGCACUGACAGAUUCAGAGACAGACUUAAGAUGGACAGACAGACUGGAUCUCUGACCAUCACAAACAUCACAUCUGAAAAUGCGGGAAUUUAUAAUCUUGAUAUAAGCGGGAAAAAAUGGACAUCAAAAAUAUUCAAUGUUUCUGUUCAUGGCGAGUAAAGUUCUUUAAUCCUUCACAAAUUCUUCAACAAUUUACACUCAAACUCUGUACUGAAAAUCUCUAUUCUCAUGUU